UUUUGUAUGUGUAUGUGUAUCUGGAGCUGUAUUGUGGAAGUGAAAGGAAUUAUUUCUGGGUCGGUGACUCCACCACCUCCCUGGGCAGCCCAUUUCAGCACCUGACCACUCUCUUGGAGGAUUUCCUAACAUGCAACCUGAAUCUCCCCCGGCGCAACUUGAGGCCAUGCAUCUGUUCAUUUACAUGAAGUUUUAGAUUUUAAGAGUGGCUCCCAUUUAUUUUGCCCCGCAUAGAAUGCACAGUUAUUUAACUACACUUUUCCUGGUGCCAGUGUUGAGAAGAAGUGAAGCUGGAGUGAGUAUGUUAAAUGAGACUAUCAAGGAGUUGCAGGGCCACAUUCAAUGAGUCUGCAGACAGAAACUGUACUAUCUGAGAAAUACUCUUUGUCCUACAAAGGAAAAAGUGCCAGGAAUAUCCUGAUUGCAGGAAUGAUAUGUGUAAUGCGUCGAAACUCUCAUCACUUGAAGAGUCCAUUAUGGAAUUAUAUCUUUAUAUCUUUAACUCAUGUGCAAAACCAAUAUGAAGAAUGUUCGUGCUGCAGUUGGUUGAGAAGAACAAUGCAAUAUUCAAGGAACAAGUGUGUGAACCAGGUUUGGAACAAGCAAAGAGUUUUAUAAAUGACGGAUGUGGAAGGUACCCUUGAAGUGUGCAACUGCAGAAAAAAAUUGAGUAUGAAUGUUUCUGAGCAGAAAGUGAUGAUGGCAUGUGAGUGAGUCUGAUCUUACAGAAGAUGGGUUAUGUUGUCAGUGCAAAAUAUACAUAGAUGGAAUAAGAUGAAUUAAGUAAAUAAAUGGGAAGAAAAAAGUUGAACUGGAUGUACUCAGCCUUCAUUGAAAAGAUAGGUGGCAAGAAACAUGCUGGUACCUCUAUCCUCUCCCACUUUAAGUCUUUGGUAUCCAGAAGAUGCACCACGGUGAGCAGGAUAAGUGUAAACAUUGGGGUUUUUUAAGCCUUUAUUUUCAAAAGCAGUUAAGUAUGCAACUAUGUGAUACAGAUGUUUAGCAACUUCAAAUUACUUUAAAAUUGUUUGCAUUGUUGUUUUUAUUCUUUAUUUCCUAUCUUGAGAUUCACACUAGUUACUAUAUUGUUCUAAAGUAACUGUUAUAAUUAAUUUUUUUCUGAUUAGGAAAAUUGGAUUUUUCAU